AUUGAACGCUGGCGGCAUGCCUUACACAUGCAAGUCGAACGGUAACGCGGGGCAACCUGGCGACGAGUGGCGAACGGGUGAGUAAUACAUCGGAACGUGCCUAGUAGUGGGGGAUAACUACUCGAAAGAGUGGCUAAUACCGCAUGAGAUCUACGGAUGAAAGCAGGGGAUCGCAAGACCUUGUGCUACUAGAGCGGCCGAUGGCAGAUUAGGUAGUUGGUGGGAUAAAAGCUUACCAAGCCGACGAUCUGUAGCUGGUCUGAGAGGACGAUCAGCCACACUGGGACUGAGACACGGCCCAGACUCCUACGGGAGGCAGCAGUGGGGAAUUUUGGACAAUGGGCGCAAGCCUGAUCCAGCAAUGCCGCGUGCAGGAUGAAGGCCUUCGGGUUGUAAACUGCUUUUGUACGGAACGAAAAGCCCUGGGUUAAUACCCUGGGGUCAUGACGGUACCGUAAGAAUAAGCACCGGCUAACUACGUGCCAGCCGCCGCGGUAACAC
rnacentral:rRNA from 1 species